rnacentral:tRNA from 1 species
ACUUAGGUAGCUUAAAUUAAGAGCUUGAUAUUGAAGAUAUCAAGGUGAUUUUGAAUCUCUAAGUA